rnacentral:misc_RNA from 1 species
UCCUGGUUAACCCAGGCAGUCUCAUUAGAGUCCCCAGCCAAAACUGUUGGCAACUAAUGAUAAGGGUUGCGCUCGUUGCGGGACUUAACCCAACACCUCACGGCACGAGCUGACGACAGCCAUGCAGCACCUGUGCAGAUGUCCCGAAGGAAGGUAUCAUCUCUGAUACUGUCAUCUGCAUGUCAAGCCCAGGUAAGGUUCUUCGCGUUGCAUCGAAUUAAACCACAUACUCCACUGCUUGUGCGGGUCCCCGUCAAUUCUUUUGAGUUUCACCCUUGCGAGCGUACUCCCCAGGCGGCACACUUAACGCGUUCGCUUCGGCACGGCCGGGGUUGAGUCCAGCCACACCAAGUGUGCAUCGUUUACGGCGAGGACUAC